AUUCUGUUUCAGGGCGAGGUGAAAUUCCUCACUGGCGGUAAUCGGACAGCUGGCGCAAGCCGCGCCAAGCCGAGAGUCCGCGACCCUGCGACGGCGUGCGCCGGCCACCGCCGAGCGCGCCCGGGCAGGCUGACACCGGUGAGACUCCGGGACCAACGGUUAAAGUCCGGAUGGAAGAGGCAGAUA
rnacentral:ncRNA from 2 species